UCUAAUAUGGCAGACUAGUGCAGAAGAUUUAAGCUCUUCAUAUAAAGUAUUUCUUUUAUUAGAA
rnacentral:tRNA from 1 species